CAUAAAUCCAGGUCACUUAAAUAUUUAAACGUAUAUAUUUACAUUAUAUGAAUUUAUGAGUGAACUCAAUAAAAAAAUGCAUGAGAUGUCUUCUUUGUGAGACGGAAAAAAAUGAACUGGAUAAAGUGAGAAACAAGUAACAUAAUGAUGAAGUAAUCAGUCAAUAGUAAUUCUUUAAUUCAUAAUCAAAACUUGGACUUGACUCUAGUCGGGAAAUAAUGAUAGUAGACAAUAUGACGACGAUGAUUAGUACAGUGAGCACUAGUGGUUACUGUACGGAGCUUUGUAC